CACACACACACACACCGCGUCUACAUAUGUGAUGGCAGGAGAGGUUCCUCAAUCUAGGAGGAAGCGUCCAGCGGAAAUAGACGUCUUGUUGGCACUUGGCGUAGAGCAUGUAAUAUGGUCACUGUACUGGACGGCUGACCAAGUUAUUUUGCUUGUGGAGAGGAUCGUGAAAAAAAUGCAGCUCCGCUCUGCGCAAGGAUUUUCAUUUCAGAUUUCUUCGUAGCUAAGGAAGUAUUCCGCUCUGUAAAAGGAUCCCUGGACAGAAUAGACUAGUGUGACCACACUUUAAGAGUCCCCCGAAAUCAUGGAUCUUGAUCUUGGAGACCCCAAGACCCAAGGGCUUUGCCUCAUUGCUGAAUCCACCAAGAGCCACCAUCAGCGAUUCCAGAGACUCAUAUAGGAUAGCAACAUCGUCAGCAAAGUCAAGGUUAUUGACCUCUACAUAUUUAGUUUAUAACAAUAGGACCAAAGACGGCGUGGUUAUUGAUUUCUUCCUCCGAGCACUUAGAAUCUGCAGCCUGGAGUUCCUGGAGGAGGAAAUGCAACACGUCAGCAACACCUUCCAACGCCUCCGUUACCCUCGCGCCUUGCACACCCCCUCCGACGCAGGGCCGAAAAGAUCGUGACCAGAUCAAGAUCACCAGGAGACCUUGAUGGGCCGCCCAAUGAAGAUAGCUACCACUGCUGGCAAGAAGAUCGGAAAUAUCUAAGGGGAAAGAGGUCAGACCACUACACUCCUCUUAGCCAGGUGUACAGCAUACCUUGCGGUGGCUGUGAUAAAGUAUACAUAGACGAGGUCUCCACAAACAACGCAUCGACCAUCACCGCAGAGCUCUACGACUUCAUGACUACAGGAGCGCCUUCGUUGUUCGCGUCGACACCGAUGACCAUCUCCCCAAGUGGUCCUAGGCCUCCAUCAUAAAACAAGGCUUGUCCCCGCGACAAAGGAAAAUGGUAAAAGCGGCGUUCAUCCAUUCAACCAACAAUUUCAACACCGCAACGGGAGCCACGAACUAGCCAAAGACGUCGCACGCCUAAGUACCGACGUUACCUGACCGCUCAGUACAUGUAUAUAUUGCCUCAGUAUAUCUCUUGUCUUGUAUGGUCUCAAGAUGCAGUAAA